rnacentral:lncRNA from 1 species
CCCACAUCCACCCCUCCAGGCUAUCCUCACAGUGCAGACUACUUUUUGAGAAGGGAAUUUUCACUGUGAAGGCUCGAAUUUGGCUCUGGCACGACACUUUAUGUGACAGACAGCAAUCAACGAAAACCCAAAGUGACGGUGUACCCAGCGUCCAACUCUGAGUCGAAUGGGAAGACCACCCUGCUAUGUCUGGCUAGAGACAUGUUUCCAGACUUGGUCAAGAUCUCAUGGAAGAUUGAGGAUGCAAACGGCAGAAGAAUGGAGGUGUCCAAAGCAGAGACGGAACAGCUGGAGCAGAGGGAGGAAGGACAGACAACCAGUAUGAUCAUCAUUGAUAAAGAGAAGACGUACAGGAACAAAUACGUCUGUUCUGUGGAGCAUGAAUGGGGCGCUCAACAAUUUGACAUUCCAAAAGAUUCCUUCCAGUCAACGUGCAGUCUGAACCUGGCCUCUGUGGUUUACACAGUGAUGAUCGUGAAGAGCAUGGUGUACUGCUGUGGGCUCUCUCUCCUGCUGCACCACAGGAUUCUAGGAAGAGGACCCAGCACCUGAAGACCUCUAUGAGGAAAAUCAUUUAUGUGCUUUUUUACAUUGAUACAAUGUUGUUGUUUUUUUACAUUGAUCCAGCUUGCAUGACAUUUUCCUUGCCUAACACAGCCUGCUCAAAUUAACCAAGUUGAUCAAAAUAACCAUAUUAUUUUAGAUGAGGAUGGAUUUAAUUAUCGCUGCCUUUAUGAACAAAAUGUUGCAACAACAAUGGUUCUGUAAAUCAUUGUAAAAUACAUUUUUUACAGUUCCGUGCUGUUUUCUAUGAAUAAAGGUUACUUAAAACCCCCAAAACAUUGCAUCUCUUUACUAUAAGAUCAUCUAUUCAUAUUUAGGAAAAUUUUAUUUAAUUGAAUCUCAUCAGAAGCAGAA